rnacentral:lncRNA from 1 species
AGUUAUUCUCAGAUUUCCAAUUUUCUAGUCACCUUGGUUUGGUUUAUUUAGCACCUCUUGGUCUCUCAUAAGAUCUUGUUGACACAUUUAUCUAAUCAAAUCUUUUUUAUAGGUCAACAUUACUGAGCCCUGUUAGGCGCCAGGAACAUAAAUCUUUGCUAGCUAGAGAGACUAGGUAUGUAAGAAAAAGGAAUGACAACACAAUAAUACAUGCUAAUUAUGGGCAAUGAACUGAAUGUACCUGUAUUAUCUAACAGACUAAACCAAGGGGACUUUCAGACCAGACAGGUUACUUCACACCCAGCCCUCAUCAUUAAUAAUUUUUAAUGUGAGGAUAGCAAAUAAAUUGUCAAAUCAGUAAUCCUGAAAGAGUUCAGAAGAUCAGAUGACUAGGAAGGUUCAGUAAGGAGUUCACAGUUAUUAGACUUAAAGAGUGCCUUUCAGAAAGGUUACGACUUAAAUAUACAAAUAACUAAUUCUUAUUUUAUGAUUUAAAAGCAAUAUUUUUACAUAUUUUCAUAAAUAGGUGGGGAUAUUUGGAGCAGAGUUCUCACACACACAAAAAAAAACAUGACUAGGAAGGAAUCAACACAGUGAACUCUUGAACAGAUUAAGUCACUUUAGGACCUGAAUCCUGAGACAUCUGCAACAGGGCUAAACCCAUUUUUUCUAAACUUUGUUUUGCACUACAAUUUUUUAAACAUUUUUCAAAAUGCCUUAUUCAACGUGCUUUUUCCCCAUUGAUUAAAAAAUUAAUAAAUGACAUCUGGUUCAUUAGGAAGUUGGUGACAGAGAUUUCUUGCUUCAGAAACGCUGGAAGCCGCUAGUUUAAAAGCAUCCGGAACAGAGGGGUCUACUUGAUUUCUCUCUCCUGGCUGUGUCAUUUUAGUCAAAGAAAGAGAUAGAAUGCCGUGUAUGCCUUGAAGACUCAACAGAGUAGAAAACACUUGCUAUUAUUUCUUUAUUUUAUUUUGAAGUGAGCUUUUAUACAAACACACAAAACCAUAUAUUUAAGAGUAAAACGCUGAGCAGUGAAAAGAAGCCCAGAGUGUCAGCCACUCCUCGUCUCCGCCAGAGCGUGACCGUCACGCCCUCUGCCACUCACAGAGAAGCGCCCAGGGGCAUCAUGGGACUCGGCGGCGGCAGGGAUUGUGGGAAAUGUAGUUUAACGACUCCUCCUCGCCAUUCCUGUAAUGGCUGCUUCCUGGAAGGUAGUGUCACGUGGAACCUCUUAAUCUCAGCAUCCGGAGCUCCAGGAAGGGAAAAUUUCAAGUCAGAUAGAAUUCUAUA